ACUGAGUGUACAUCGAUUAACCUAAAAUUUGUUAAUUGACACUAUAACCAAUACAAUACAAAUUUCCGCAAGUACGACACAAUUGUCAUAAUAAAUGUCAUAAAUAGAUUUUAUUGCUAUAUUAUUACUGAUGGAAGAAGAAGAGAAAGAAAAUAGACGUCGAAAAAAUAUAAUAAGGAGAAGAGAGAUUUAAGAGAUUUAAGAGAUCCGUUUUUUCCAGAUAACACAUUCUCAAAUUGUAUAGAUUAUCUAAAGUGGCAACUGUACAAUUUAUUGAAGAAUUAAAAAAUUUUAUGUCAGUUCCACAAAGAAGAACAGCAGUUUCUCAAUAUUCACAAAUAUUUGUAAUACUUUAUUUCUUAGCAUUUGGUUCCUAUCAAAGAAAAGUACAAGAUUUUCUCAUCAUCAUGCAUCAGUCCAUUUCUAUGCAUGUUACUGUAUUAAAUAAUAUUAUGGGAUGUUGAAUUCAAUUCCAACAUCAAAUAGAAGGAAACAACAAAUUAAACCAGAGAAGGAGAUUCCAUCUGCUUAUGUCUUAUCUUUUAAAAUCAUUUAUAAACGCACCUAUAGGCUCUCCAGAAUUCAGAUAUACAGAACAUUUUACAAAAGCAUGAUCUUCUCCAGAAAGAGGUAUAGAUAUUUUGAAAGGUUGAUGACGAUGCUUGCGAAAAGAGAAGGCAUUGCAUUAUUAGCUGGAAUUCGCAGCUCAUAUUGUAAAUGCAUAUUGCGUUCUACACAAUAUUGUUAUAAAAUGGAGAAUUCUAGAAAAUUAAAUUUAUUUAAAUGAGAUAGAUGAACAAACACCAAUACAAUAUAACAUUGAUGUAAAUAACGCUGAAUAUGACGAAAUGUUAUUCGAUGAUAUUUUGAAUAGACAAGAAGCUCGAAUGUCUCGAGCUAUACAAUUGUGCAAGAUUAUAUUUUUUAACGUAUUUACAAGAGACUAAAUGAAGUAUUCAUGCUAAAAAGAUUCUCAUAAGGAGAAUGCUGUGACUUUACAGGUACACAAAAGAAUAUUAAGAAUCAUGGAUUGGAAAAUUAGAAAAAUCUGUCAGAAUUGAAUUUGAACGAUAACGAUAUAAAAGUGAUAGAGAUUAUUUUUAUUGUUACUGAAGAGAUAAGUUGUAAGGCUUAAAUAUAGUCUUUUCUUUUUUAUUAUUAUUCAAAUUAACAAGUGAUAUAAGAAAGAGAAUGUAUAUUCUAUUUUCCUUCGUUAAAAUAUAAAUUUUAACUCUCUGUAUAAUUUUUUUCUCCAUAUUUAUUAUACAUUUAGCAAGGAAUAUAUAUAACAAUAUAAGCACUCGUCGUGAUUUAUUUUUAUGCAUAUUAAUUAUAAGUCGUAAUGCUUGAUUGGAUGAGGGAAGAUGUUAUGACAAUCGAGGUGUAUUGCUGCGGCUUGUAAUAAUUAUUGUACAAAUAGAUAAACAUUAAUGAAUGGA